UGUUUGCUACUUGUGAAUAUUUCUACUGACUACUGUUGGACCACUCCAGUAAUAAGCCCUACACCUUUUACUAGGUGCUUGUAUGUCUGUGUCAUUAGCAUACUGUGGGCAAAUCUUGCUUGCAUUUGUGCAUGCCAACAUGUCCGGGGGUGGGGGGAGGGCCUGGACCAUAGUGGAUCGUGUGUGUGUAGGGAGGUAAGGCCUGGACCGUAUUGGAUCUCAUGCAAUACUGCGGCAGGAUUAGGAAGGAGGAUAUGGAGAGCCUGUGCAGAAGUUAGAGACCCCCAGUGUACUGCAGAGCACAAUUAUGCUGGGACUUCCAAAAAGCAGUUGAACAGUGGGACGCCUGGCACUAUUCAAAUCAGAGUGAGCAUGGUGGAAAGGACCUUCAGAAAACUUCAGAGCAGACAUUCUCCUAUUGUUGUUGCUGGGAGCUGGCAGCCAGGGGUAGUUGUGGCAGGGAAAGCAUGUGGAUGA
rnacentral:lncRNA from 1 species